UACAGAGGUCCCGAGCGUUGUCCGGAAUUACUGGGCGUAAAGAGCUCGUAGGUGGUUUGUCGCGUUGUUCGUGAAACUCACAGCUUAACUGUGGGCGUGCGGGCGAAUACGGGCAGACGUGGAGUACUGCAGGGGAGACUGGAAUUCCUGGUGUAGCGGUGGAAUGCGCAGAUAUCAGGAGGAACACCGGUGGCGAAGGCGGGUCUCUGGGCAGUAACUGACGCUGAGGAGCGAAAGCGUGGGGAGCGAACAGG
rnacentral:rRNA from 1 species